AUUGAACGCUGGCGGCAGGCCUAACACAUGCAAGUCGAACGAGCGUCGGACGGGGGUGAAAUGUAUGGGGACUGCCCGUUAGAGGGGGAGAACUACUGGAAACGGUAGCUAAUACCGCAUACUAUCGGAUAACCCAUAUGGGAUUAGCUAGUUGGUGAGGUAAUGGCUCACCAAGGCGACGAGCCCUAUCUGGUCUGAGAGGAUGAUCAGCCACACUGGGACUGAGACACGGCCCAGACUCCUACGGAGGCAGCAGUGGGGAAUAUUGCACAAUGGGGGCAACCCUGACGCAGCCAUGCCGCGUGAAUGAAGAAGGCCUUCGGGUUGUAAAGUACUUUCGGUAGGGAGGCGUUACCUGCAGAAGAAGCACUGGCUAACUCCGUGCCAGCAGCCGCGGUAAUAC
rnacentral:rRNA from 1 species